UCAAGGAGCACCUGCCUUUCAUAAACCUGUGCUGGCUGGGCCUGAUCCCUUGGUUGUCCCAUGCAUGUAUGUGAUGGCACUCAAGAUGAUCUGCUUCAUGGUCUUCCCCAGCACUGAGGUCAUGCGGACAACCCUGUAGUUCCCCAGAUCUUCCUUCCAGUCCUUCUUGUAGAUGAAUACUACAUUUCCUAACUUCUGUGACCUCCCCAGUUAGCCAGGACUGCUGCUCGUGGGUGCUGGGUGCCUGAAGAACAACUGUCUUUAAUACUAAGACUGAAACAAAGGAGUCAUGAAGCACCCCAGUCUGUUCCUCAGCUUUCGACCCUAUGUCUCUCAUGCAGCCAAUAAAAGAUGGUGAUCAUCCUUA